CAGCAGACACAUUCCAGCCAAUCAGCAGCAGACCCUCCCUCCCACACCCUCCCACCUCCUGGACAGCAUCCAUUUUACAUUCAUUGUGAAGCUGCAUUCUUAGUGAGCUGUCCAGGAGGUGGGAGGGUCUGGGAGGGAGGGUCUGCUGCUGAUUGGCUGGAAUGUGUCUUCUG
rnacentral:miRNA from 1 species